CAUGAGGAACUUGCUUUUCUACAUUUCAGGAGCUUUAGCAAUAAUGGAGAAAACUACAAAUGCAAGACUGAUGUUACAGGAGGACAAGUUACCAAAAAACUUGAUAUCCAUGUUUCAUAUUUCUUCUUUUCUAGUUCUAAAUCUGAAAAUUCAGUCAAAUAAAGAAACUAAAUCCUAAGCAAAGAAUCAUGCCAAUCUCAAAUCAUACCUGAGGGAGUAAUGCAGGGAAAUUAGUUAGAAGUUUUCUCUUGCUAAGAUUUCGAAAUUUCAGUGUAGCUUCUACAACAUGGUCUAAAAAUUCACUUAGUAGUUUAUUGGUGGUAGUUGCUACAUAAUUAAUGUCUGUUGGGCUAUAUAUAAUAAAUCCAUGUGGUUUUUGGGCGAUUAAUGUAGACUUUUUUUAUUCAAUGGCAACUGAGCAGCGAGUAGUAACACAAGUGAUGAAGACUAAAGUAUUCCUCAACUGAGCAGUGAGUCAACAACCAGAGCGUGAUUCUUGGGAAGCUAACAUGGGCAUGGAGAUAGAAGGUGAUGGGGGUGCCUGCAUAUCUUCAACCUGAUCUGGAAGCAGAUCUCGUCUUGCCUCCAACACCAGCUAUCAGAGUCGACAACCAUGUAAUUUCCAAUCUCAGUUAUUACUUAAGAAUAAAUUCACUUACAUUGCUAGAAUUCCUUGGAAAUGAAUAUUGUAUUUCAUGAGUAACUGAUCAAAAUAACUCUAUUGACACGGAAUUGUAUGAUGCGCGAUUCGAUUCAUACAAUUUAAUAUGAGUUUCAAUCAAAAUUAUUUGAAUUGUGUUGUUUGAAAAUUGGGUGUGCUGUUGAAUUGAGAAUUGAGUAGUUCAUAGGUUUUUGUUUACAUAAUGUAUUGAAAUGAUGCCUUUUUCAACUACUGUAUGAUGAAACAAAAAAAGGGCAAUUGGUUAUACUGAUAUACGUGGUGUUAUAUAUAUAUGUAAUAUAUAAUUUAUUUAUAUUGAUCCUGUGAAGUAUUUGAUUGCGAUUGCUAUAGUGUUCCGACAUAUGUGUGAGGUUUGGAAAUUCCUUUCCAAUAAUUUGGGCUAUAUUUCAUGAUCAGCAUCCAGUGGAUCUUGUAUUAGAAGGGAAAAAGAAAUGGAAGGAAAAGUGGGAAAAAAAAACUUUGUAAAUAGUUUCAUGUGGAAAAAAACAUGCAAAGGGUGAACUGCUAAUACAUGUAUUAUCUUAUGCAAUUUUAUCUCUUCUUUUGUGGAGAUUUUGUUGGAAUUUUGUGUUUAAUUUGUUGUGGUGCGUUAUAGAAACCAAAAACACCCUUUUCGUAGUUUUUAGAUAAUUAGAGAUCGACGAUUCCAACUUCCUUUACUCCAUUCAAAAAGUUGUUCAAAAUAAUUGAUGAAAAUUUCCAAUGAUCCGGUUUGUGCAUGUUAUUCAAAAUAAUGUUACUUUUAGGAGUUGUUAGUUUUUCAUUUGUAUUUUUUUUCCUUUGUGUUUUUGGCGCUAACCCCUUGCAGGCAAUGGCACAUAUGGACAUGGUUAAUCAUUUAAGGUAAUCUCCUUUAACUUUUUGAUUU